GCCUCUAUAGCUCAGUUGGUAGAGCGCGGCACUAGUAGCUUUCGGAAGACUCGGCAACUCAGUCGGGCCGAGAACAUCGUGAUGCCGAGGUCUUCGGUUCAACUCCGAAUGGAGGCA